UUACAUUUCAAGAACCCUCCCCCACACACCUGUAGGGGGGGGGUGUUAUGUGUGCAACUGUUUUCAGUCCGGGUAGGACACCUUUUGUAGAGAGUUGUUGCGUUUGCUAGUUUCAAGUGAUCAAGUGAGGCUGACAGUCUGCGAUUUAUAUUUGUUAAAAUUGAAAGUGGAUUAUGCUGGUUAAGUGAAAUGUCACAACACGUUCUAAACUGCUCUGUCGACAAACACACGUUUUACCUUGUCACCAUUCGUCCCAUAUUGCUGCUGGCUGCGCUUUGCUACCACUGAAAAAUCUUGAAGAUUGCCCAUUAUUAUAAAAAAUAAGGGCUCAAAAACAGAGGCAGUGGGAGAACCUAUUCAAUUAUGGAAAGUUGUGAAAGCCUGUGUUUGCAGAUGAAGAGAGAGGUCCUAAUGAAUGUCCCAAGAGACUAAUGGUGUGUUUCCGUACAGGAUUUACCCCAGUGUUUUACCUAAAAGGCUCAGACUUUUUGUUUCCAUCUACGUGGGCCGGCACCCGUGUCUGGGCCAUGGCUCCGGCAGACCUGCUCUCACUUGGGGCCAAAGCCAGGCCACUGGUACUUUUUAGCCCAUAUAUACAUAACAAUGGCUAACUUUAACACCUUUCACACAGUAACUGUGUAUACCAGCGUAUUUUUGUAUAUAACUUUUGCUAACAUAGGUAGGCCUACCUAUAUGCCUUGGUUUAUAUGUGUAGGCCUACAUAUGUUAGCACAUGUUGUAUACAAAAACAGUUGAACAUCACACACAAUGUAUAAACCUAUUACAAUUGGAGAAGGCUGGAGGUCUGAUAGGUGUGCAGGGUUCUGUUUCAGCCCAGAAAUAACACACCUGAUUCAACUUGUCAAACCUAAUGAGUUGAUAAUCAAGUGUACUAUUG